CGGUGAUAAACCUGAGGAAGGUGGGGACGACGUCAAGUCAUCAUGGCCCUUACGUCUGGGGCUACACACGUGCUACAAUGGCCAACACAAAGGGCUGCAAACCAGCGAUGGUAAGCGAAUCCCAAAAAGUUGGUCUAAGUUCGGAUCGUAGUCUGCAACUCGACUGCGUGAAGUCGGAAUCGCUAGUAAUCGUAGAUCAGCCAUGCUACGGUGAAUACGUUCCCGGGCCUUGUACACACCGCCCGUCACGCCAUGGAAGCUGGAAGUGCCCGAAGUCUGUGACCCAACCUUAGGGAGGGAGCAGCCGAAGGCAAGUUCGGUAACUAGGGCGAAGUCGUAACAAGGUAGCCGUAGGGGAACCUGCGGCUGGAUCACCUCCUUUCUGGAGA
rnacentral:rRNA from 1 species